CAAGCCAUACUCUGGCUGCCCUUCUCGGGUCUCUAAUUUCCGCAGCCCAUUUUCCCCGUGGUCUCUGCCUCACUCCUCUGUAAUUCUUCUUCUUCGCAACAAUGUUUAAUGUAUUGUAGUUGUUAACACCAGCCGCGGCUGAUGAGGUUGCAAAAUAAUUGCAGCCUAAACAACCAUUUAUUUUGCAGAAUUGACAACGCUCUGGUUCUAUCGCAACAUGAAACUGGGGCGGCUCAAUAGAAUAAGACAUACUCGUAGAAGGUAAUGAAAUAGUGGCACUGGGAGUGACAGGAAAAGUAUGGGUAGUACCUGUAAUCACAUUGGUUAAAGCAUUAACCAUGAUUGAAAACUCUUGUUCAUCAGUGAGUUUAGUUGACCUCUGCAUUGUUGAAAAUUUGAAAAAGCUGAGAAAAUUUUGGUCUUUGGUGUUCACAUGGUUUUUCUAAGUUAUUUGGUUUUAUAUAGUCGGGGAAUGAAGAUGAGUACGCUUAUCGUACACGCGUUUGAAUUUAGCUUAGCUGGCAUCUUCAAAUUACAUUAAUUGAUUUUGUGGUCACGUGGGAUUUUGGAUUUGUGGAUUUUUUGUAAUAGUUGAUGACAUGGCAGAAAAGUGAUUGUUCACAUGGUGCUUGUCACUUUCAUAGAUGAAUGACGUUGGUAUUAUGUUUGAUUAACUUAAAUGUUUUGAAAAAUCAAUUCAUUUUCCUCAAAUUUAAGGAAAAUGAUUUUUCUUCAAAAAUUAAGGAAAAUAUUUUUUAAAAUUUUACUUCAUUCUUUAAUUAUUUUUUUCUUAUCCUACUCCGUACAACCCGACCCACCCUAUCCAAAAAAAUAAUAAACAUUUUUAAAUUUUCAUUUUUUAAAUUUCAAAUAUAUAUUUACCCCUACCCCGAAACCCCCCACCCAAGCCACCCAUCAAAAUAUUCUCCAUUCACCAAUCCAAACAUUAAAAAAAUAUUCUCUACUCACCAAUCAAACAUGAGAAAAUAAGUUAUAUAUUCAUUUUUUCCCAAGAAAACAUUUUCAUUCAUACCAAACACACCGUAAUAUUUACACAAAGGAGAGGGGUAAUUUUGGAAUUUGCAGGAGACAUCGGGGAAGACUGGAAAAAUCAUCUUGUCCGGUCGCUUCCAAGGAAAGAGGACUGACUUUUCUACUUUCUUAGGCCUGUUUGGAUUGGCUUUUGGCUUAUGACUUGUAAGCCAAAAGCCAUAAGUUAGGAUUUCUAACUUGUGGCUUUUGGCUUAUUUUUGUUAUUUUGGCUUUAAAAUAAGUGCUUAUAAGCACAUUUUAACUUUACCCAAACACUUCAAAACUGCUUAAAAGCUAUUUUGGCUUAAAAGCACCUAAAAUAAGUCAAUCCAAACGGGCACUUACUCCUUUUUGUCAAAUUUUUUACCUUUUUUAAAUUCAAAUAAUUUGAAUUUUUUAUUUUGAUGGUCAAAUUUAUUUUUCCACUUAUUUUCUUGUAAAAUUUUCUAUAAAUGCCGUAAAUUUUUUACAUAUAUAAAAACUAAAUUACAAUAGACUCCCUCUGUCUAAUAAUACUUGUUCAUUAUUGACUUUGCACAUUUCUUAAGAAACUAUAAAUAGAAGGGUAAUUUUACUAUAUCACCUUUUGAAUAUAAUAAAUACAAUGUCUUAAAAAUGUAAUAGGAAAAUGAACAUAAUUAAUAAUAAGGGUAAAUUAGGAACUAAUUAGGAACUAAGUGUGAAAUUAUUCAUUCAUUUCAUAAAGUGUUAUGAACCAAGUCCAGCCCAAUGUGGAUACCAGAGUCACAAAAGUAGUUAUUGGGCUGGCAAGUGUUAUUGGGCCGAGAACAAACAAAAGGGCCUGGUUAAUUUGGGAUCCGAGUUGAGAAGCGAGUGUGGGAACGGUUCCAUCAAAAAGGGUAGUGGUAUGUGAUUUAGGGAUUAUGCAAAUUGUUGAGAAAAAUGUCUAGUCCUCUCAUCCCCUUUCUUUGAGUCUAUGUUUUUCAUCUCCCUUCUAGUUAUAUUCUACAAUAAGUUUCUUUGUUAGUUCCAUUUUUCAUUGUAACUUCGUGUUUAGUGAUUAUAAUAUUUGAAUGUUUCUAUUGUGAAAUUGGAGUUGUUACAUUGGUGCUUUCAUUCGAUCGUACUCCAAUAACAUUGAUGGUACUUGAUCAAUUUAGCGGUGGCAAUCCAACUGGGUGGAUUUUUAGGGCGGAUCUGUAUUUCACAUAUCUUGGUUUCUCGGAAAAGGAAUGGCUACCUCUUUCUCAUUUUUAUCUCGAUGUUGCUGCUUAUGAUUAGUUUCAAUGGUUAUAUCACAACAAUCAAUUUUUUGACUGUAAACAUUUCACCAAGAAAUUAGCCCUGCAUUUUGCCAAUGACUUCAACAGGAUCAAUGACACUGUCAACACCCUUGAUAUGAUGCGAAAGUUAGACGAGAACUUCUCAUAUAUACUCUGCAAACUCGACAAUGUCCAACGUGCAUUAUCCUCUUACUCCCAGUCGAUCAUACCAGAUCCGGUGCCUCUAGAUGUGGACUCAUCUUACGACAAUAACGGGGAUCGUGCCUUGUCUUUUGAUGAUUCAUCUCCCGUCUUUAAGGAUUUAGUGGCCUCUGAUUCAAACAUUGUUGAUGAGUGCAUUCAACCCUCACUUCAGGCUUGUGUUGUCCAAAAACAAACAUAGGUUCUUUUAUCUAACCUCCUAUUUGAUUUGAACGAUGAAACACUAGAGGAGGUGACUGGUGGAACAUUAAAGGAGCCACCGACAAAAUGUUCGCUGGAAUACCUGAUAGGGAUAUUGACAUGGAAGUUGUUGAUUCAAUACAGAAUGAUGUAGUCAAACUUGAAACACAUGUGUUCGAUGAAAGGUUUCACACAAUUUCCACAGUUAGGUGUGAUUCCAAUAACGUUGUCAAGUUUGACGAAAUGUUGUUUGCACUCCCUUGUAUAAUCUCAGACAAUAGUUCCUUUGCUUAUUUAAGUGAACUCAAUCCUUCUAAACUUUCAUUAUCCUUGUAUCGAUUUCCACCUGCUCAAUUUAAAUUAGAAUUUCCAUUUGAUCCUGGUUCUGGUAUGCUUACCACAUUUCUUGGAUCUGCAAAUUGUUAUCCUUUAAUGGUUGUGGAUGAUUUCAAGGAGAUCAUUAAAAUAUUUGUCAGUCAUUUCAAUUUCACGAUCAGUGAUCAAUAUACUUUAGAUCAAUUCCCUUAUGAUCCUGGUGCGAAUGUGUUCAUUGUAACCAGAGGACGCCUCCAAGUUCAUCAAUUGCACCCUGCGACAUUUUUAUUCAAUCUCUCACUCGUGAUAAACACAUUUUCAACUUUUUGGGUUAGUUUUUUACAUUCGUCCCACUGUCAAACCUGUUAAAUCUCUAAUUGAUAAUGAAUCAAUUAUUUCUAAUUGGGAUCCAGGAACUAGUUCAAGUUCUUGGCUAUCACAGUUUCUACAGACGGUGUGCAUAUGUUAAUAGUAUUUGAGCAAUUAAAAACAAUUGGAGACAUUUAUUUGCAAAGUUAUCAAAUUGGGAGCAGUUAGGUGGAGUUGAAAUGGGUAUUGAAACCUUUAACGCCACGUAUUUUGAAAGAUAUUUAUAGGUAACUGAGCUUAUUUGGGAUCAUCUUGAUUAUUUUUGUAUGGCGUAUAAGUGUAGCAUUAUAGUAAAAGAACUUCACUCUUGCGAUGACAAGGUGGAAAUCUCCGAAUUUAUUGUGUCAGCAAAAAUUUUGUGCCGAAUUUUAGAGUACCAAUUGAGGAGGCAAAACAAAUGGAUGGCGUUGAGUUCUCCUUCUUAUUUUGUGUGCAAUAUUCUCACGAAAGCUCUAUACAGCCUUUCGCCAAACGACAGUUUUGAAUGUUACAUGACUCUCCAACAUGUUUCUUAUUCCUUACCAAGUUUCGUUGUUUUUGUCACAUUUGCAAAUCAUCCAUUUGAUCCUGUAGUUACAUUGUGGGGUGAACAGGUUUGUGGUCUAAGGCGGAAAUAUCUAGGCACUGCUGCGUCUGAACAAUUCAUUAAUUUAUUGGAGCUUUUUUUAGCACUCAAUCUUGUUAGUUUGGAUGCGAGCACGGAUUAUCGCGACUACAAGCAACUAGAGAAAUAUGGCACAUUGUUUAGACCAAUGUUAAUUGCUACUAAUGCAAGUGCUUAUGCUCGUCGAUAUGAUUAUGCACGUCCGUGCAAAGUAUGUAGCAAGCAAAAAGUUUCUCUCUUGGCGGAUAUGGCACAUAUCAGUGGCUUGGUUGCUUCGUUGGUCAUGUGCUCUCCUUUCAAGUAUUCAACUUUUGUUACAUUUGCUAUACAAUUUAUGGGUGCUAAAGUUUACACUACAAUUGUGUAUGAAAAAAGCUUGUUUGCACUUGGGGGAUUUGGUAAUGAGCAGAUCGUAUUUUAUAUUGUUUUCAGGUUGGUGGUUGUUGCAGGAAGUAUAAAAGAUAACAUACUAUAUUCUGACAAUAUUGCACAAUUGGUCUUGGCUACAAUUGGUAGGGAGUGCGCUACUAACAUUGUUCUGGACUCGAACCUUGAGGACAAGGUUCUUAUUGAGGACGAGAGUAUUGUUAUGAGCCAAGUCUAGCCUAAUGUAGAUAUCAGAGUCACGAAAGUAGUGGUGUGGGAACAGUUCUAUCAAAAAGGGUAGUGGUAUGUGGUUUAGGGAUUAUGCAAAUUGUUGAGAAAAAUGUCUAGUCCUCUCAUCCUCUUUCUUUGAGUCUAUGCUGCUCAUCUCCCUUCUAGUUAUCUUCUACAAUAGUUUUCUUUGUUAGUUCCAUUUUUCAUUGUAACUUCGAGUUUAGUGAUUAUAAUAUUUGAAUGUUUCUAUUGUGAAAUUGGAGUUGUUACAUAAAGUGGACAACUAUUGUUGGACAUCCCAAAAUAGUAUAAUGAACAACUAUUGUUGGAUGGAGGAAAUAGUUAGUUUAUAAAAAAAUUUCUCUUUUUUUUUUCAUGUACACUUUUUUCUUUCUCUUAUUUUUACACUGAAGAAUGAAAGAAAAAUGAAAUAAGAAACUCAAAUUAUAAUAAUCAAAGAAGUCCCUUCGUCCAUCUUUUAACUAUUCACUAUAUUAAAAUAAAUAUUUAUUUUUAUUUAUAUUGAUUUUUAUUAUUCCCUCCGUCCUAAUUUGUGUUACACUUUUCGAAUUUCGAGAUUCAAACAAAUAUAUCUUUGACUGUAAAUUUUCAUAUAUCUUUUAAUUAUUUUGAAUUGUCAAUUAUUGUGACUUAUAGUACUUUUUACGUACUUUACAAGUAUAUAAAUUUCAUUUCAAAAAAACUAAAGAUUCCACGCGCGUAUUUCUAGUCAAACUUAAAUUGUUUGACUUUUGAAAAAUGUCAGAUAAAUUGGGACAUAAGGAGUAUUAAACACUAGAGGAUUUAUUCAGUACUCCUUCCGUCCCUAUUAGAUGCGCACUUUCUAUUUUACAUGAUAAUUAAGUAAUCAUUAAUAAAUUGAUCAACUUUACGGUUUUGUCCUUUGUUAAUUGUAAUUAGCCUCUUGAAAAAAGAAACUUAGAUCUUCAAAAUUUGUUUAAACUUCUAAAGAUCAUAUUAAUUGUAAGGGUAAAAUAGAAAAAAAAAUUAUAUCUUGGUUCAAUAAGUAAUCAAGUAAUAUGAGACAAAUAUUUUUAGUUAAAUGUCCAUCUAAUAUGGAGAAAAGAAAAUAGUAUUUAGAUGACUUAAUAAUUAAUAAAGAUGAUUAAUAAAAAGUAUUUUUAUUUAUUACUUUAUAUGAAAUGCACCAAAUCAAAUAUAAACAAAUAAAGAUGUGCAAAGAGACUAAUAUAACAGUAAUAGUGGUAUGAAUGAACACAACAGUAGUUGAAAAAUAUUUGAUUGGUAAAAGUAAUGAUUAUAUUCAAUUUAAAUUAUUUUUAAUUUUCAAUAAUUCUUAAUACUUAUAUAUUUUUAAAAUUUUAAAAUUUGUAAUCUUAACAUAUUAUAGUAUUUUAACUAUAAAAAAUUCUUAUUAAAGGUAGAAUAUAAAAAUAAUUGAUUAUUUUUAAAUUUAUGAAUGUGUCAACCUUUUCUAAAUAAGCUAAUAAAAAAAUAGUGUCAAACAAAUUGAAUAGAAAAGGACAAUGUUUAAAAAUUAAUGGCUUCACGAUCGAAAAAUUAUAACCUCUGUAGUCUCUAUCUAUCGAAAUCAGAUACUCUUUUGAAUUUAAUUUAUGUCAUCCUUUUACUUCUUACUCCGUUAAAAAUAAAAAGAUCUUUAAAAAUUAAAAGAUAGUAUAAUUCUAAUUUUUUUUAUUUUAUUUUUAAUAUCAAAUUUUGUCACAACAUCAAUAGUUUUAUAAUAUUUAAAUUAUAAGAUUUUUAUUCUUCUUUUAAAUUUUAUGUCCACUCAACUAAUAAAUUUUACUUAAAUUGAUAUAGGAAGUACUAUUAAAGUUGGAAGAAUAAAUAAAUAUCUAAGAAAAGACAAACCAUCACAACACAAGCCAGCCUGGUAAGGACGAACCCACAACCAAUCAAAUCCGUACAUGUUGUUGCGUCCACAAUACCGAGUUGACUAAACUAUGCUAUAAUCCUCUUAUCCAUUUUAUUGACUGACGGCUACUUUUUUUUUCGUUUUAAUUUAUUUAAUAAUUUUAAUUUGUUUUUUAAAAAAAAUGAUAUUUUUGUUAUAAUUUUAAAUUUUAACUCUUCAAAUGAUACAUUUAACGGUGAAAAUCAAUUAAAUCUCUGAACUUUUGUUUGAAAAUCAAGUUCCUUCCUUUAUGCAAAAUGUAUUUUAUACUAGUCAUAUAUAUAUUAUUCUUUAACUUUUAUAUUUGUAGAUUUUUAUUUAAGUUAUAAGUAUAAUAAUUCUUUUCUAGGUUUGAUGUAAAAUCUAGUGUUAUUUUAUAUGAUUGUUGUUUAAUACUAAGUACAUUCAUUUAGGAACUGUUUGGUAGUUGGUUAGAAACUUAGAAUUAUAAGGAUAUUAGUAAGGCAGAGAUUAGUUAUGAGUAAAAAUUAAUGUAAUAUUUUAUGCAUAUAUUAGUUAUGUAGAGAUAAGUUUUUUUUUAUUUCUCAUCCGAUGUCCGAUAUCCAUAUUAAAUCCCGAUUAAAUUCAAAUUAGCAUCGAAAAGCUCCAUAUUAAAAAAUAAAACGUUCCUUAACAAAAUGCGACUCCGUAUCUGAUAUAACAAUAUAAUAAAGUAACGUCUGAAUGGCUAGUGGAUAGCUUUGUUACUCCUCCUGUGUGAGCAUUGUUUGUCAAUACAACAAAUAUACUCCCAAUAUUUAAUUUUAAUUUAUGCACGUUCCUUUAUUAAUUAAAAAUGUAUAUAUAUUCGUUGAAGUUGGUAGGCAAGCUGCCAUCAAAAUCAAAGUCAAUUUCUAAAUGGUCACCCAAGUUUAGAAAAUUGCCUUGAAAUAUCAUUUAUAUUUCAUUUAGGACCAAAAUGUCACUUAACUAUUCCUAUUUUUCUCUAAAUAUACUUGACACUUCAAAAACCUCACUCUCUCCUAGUUGGCAUGACAUGUCAUUAAAGUCUUUUUUUAAUAAUAGACUAAUUUGAUUCAUUAAACCCAUAUAAUUAAAAUAAUAAUCAUGUUUUUUUAUUUUUUUUAAAAUAUUAGUUUAUUAAAAAUAAAUCUUCAUACUUCAGAAUUUUUAUUAUAAUUAAACUUUUUUAUUUUUUUAUGUUAUGAAAUAGAUUUUUAAAACGUACUAUAAUAUCAUCAAUUUUGAAUACUUAUAAACAUAUACAUUCAAAAAAAAUUGAUAUACAUAUCACUCAUGAAUGCUAACUUACAUCAAUUAAUCAUAAAUUUUACAAUGAAUCAAUAAUAUUAAAUGUCAAUUAACUAUUACAAUAAAAUUAAUUGUGUAUUUUAAAAUUCAUGCUUACAAUAUUUUUUUUCUUGAAAAAAAAUAGAAAGUGAAUAAUAUUAUUACUGUUUUUUAUCCAAAAAUAAAUAAAUACUAAACAUCUCAAAAAUCUCCAUUUAUUCUAGUUGAUAUGUCAUGUUAUUAAAUCGUCAUUUUAAAAAAUAAUAGACCUAUUUAAUUCAUCAAACUUAUGCUCUACAAGGCAAAUAUAGAAAUUACAUGAGAAUUUAUGAAGAUUAUAAAAACAAUAAAAAAACUAAUUCCUUUAUAUUUUUUACCAAACAAAAUACAAUGAAAUAAACUGUGUGUAAUUAUUACUUGGUAAUUUUUAAAAUACCUAAAUAAAUUAUUUGAAAAUUUUAAGAAAUUUUUUUAUAAAAGUAUUCAAAUAAAUUUGUAAGGUUGACAAAAAAGUUGUUAAGAAAGAGAAAAUUAUUAUUUAAUUUAACUUUUUAUUCUUAUUUUUGCUAUAUUAUAUUAUAUUAUAUUAUAUUUUAACUUAUCAUACAAUUAAACAUCAAUAUAUAUUCUCAUCUCAUCCCAAAUUCAUGAAAUACAAGUAAUAAUUAAUUGCAUUGCCUAUUUUAAUUCAAUAAUAUACAUAUUAUAUGAGAUUAAUAUACUGAUAAAUAAAAAUCAAAAUUUUAUUUUCUAAUAUAAAUAUUAUUCACUUUUUAUUUUCUUUUCAAAAGAAGAUCUUGUAUGCAUGGAUUCCAAAGUAUCCAAUUAAUUAUUUUUAAUAGUUAAUUGACCUAUAAUAUUAUUGAUCCAUUAUAUAAUAUAUGAUUAAUUGAUGUAAGUUGACAUUCAUGAGUGAUUUAUAUAUUAAUAUUUUUUGAAUAUAUGUGUUUAUAAGUAUUCAAAAUUGAUAACAUUGGAGUAGUAAGUUUUAAAAAACAAUUCUUCAUAUCAUACAAAAUUAAAAAAUUAAUUAUGAUAAAAGAUUCUUAAGCAUGAAAAUUUGUUCUUAAUAAAUAAUAUAUAUACUUUUUAGAAAAUAAUAAGAUCAUUAUUUUAGUUAAAUGAGUUUGAUGAAUUAAAUAAAUUCAUUCUUGAAAGAAAAAAAAAGGUUCAAUGACAUGACAUGCCAACUAGGAGAGAGUGAGGUUUUUAAAGUGUCAAGUAUAUUUGGAGGAAAGUAGGAAUAGUUAAGUGAUAUUUUAGUCCUAAAUGAAACAUAAAUGAUAUUUCAAAGCAAUUCCCUAAACUUGGGUGACCAUUUAGGGAAUUGACUCCCAAAAUCAUCAUGCCCUACAUGUAAUAUAUAUAUAAAUAUGUAUAUAUUCUCCGUACAAAAUUCCAGUACGGUACCCAACUACUCGCUCCAUCUACUUCUAAUUUUUAUAGUUUUCUUUUGGGAAAAUUGUAUGAAAUAACAAAUUAUUAAUUCAAAUUAAAUAUUAUAGUCAUAGUUUAUUUUAUUUGUAAUUUGCAACAAACAUUCCUAUUAUAAUAUGGGUAAAUAUGGAUAUUCCUAUUAUAACAUUCCUAUAUAUACUUUUAAUUUUAUUUUUUUAUAUUCUUUUUACAUUUUUUUUUGGGAUAGGGGUGAGGGGCUGGUAGGGGGUGGAGUUAAGUAAAAAAAAUAAAAAAAAAUAAAAAAAUUGUUUUUAAAACUUUUAAUAAUAUUUCUAUUAUUAUAUGGGUAAAUAUGGAUAUUCAUAUUAUUAAUUGGAUAACUCGUUUUUACCCAUUUAAAAUAUUAAUCGAAUCAAGUACUUUAUUCAUUUUUAUUUAAGAAAACUUUGGUCUUUGUUGUUCAGAUGAUUUUCUAAGUUACUAGCUUUUAUGAAGAUGAGUACACAUUUUGUACACGGGGUUUGAUUUUAGCUUAGGCUGGCAUUUUCAAAUUAAAUUACUGGCCACGUGGCAUUUGAAUUUGUGGAUGAUAUGGCAUGAAAAGUUGAUGACAUGGCAUGAAAGUGAUGGUAGUUUUUGCCUUUUUGGGUGGACGGUUACAAGAGGAAUAACGUAAUGUCUCAUAGGGGUAAUUUUGGAAUUUCCCAGAAACCAUUAGAGAAGACUGGGGACAGUUGGCAGUCAAAUAAUUCAUCCUGUCGCUUGGAAGACAAGAGGACCAAAACUAUAUGGAGUAUUAUAAUUUAUACCUAACUCUUUUGUUCUUUCAUAUUCCUUUUUAUCAAAUUUUAUAUUUACUCCUCCGUUUUUUAUUUGUUCACGAUAUUAAAAAAUACGGAAAAUAUAUUUGCCAGAAACCAUUAGAGAAGACUGGGGACAGUUGGCAGUCAAAUAGUUCAUCCUGUCGCUUGGAAGACAAGAGGACCAAAACUAUAUAUUAUAAUGGGAAAAAGGGUCUGAUAUACCUCUCAAUUUCGUCAUUUAGAGCUGAUAUAUCUCUCGUUAUGAAAAUGACUCAUAUAUACAAAUGGCUCACAUAUAUCCUUUUUUCUAAUGAAAAUGAAAAAAAUUAAUUUUACUUUAAUAUUUAUUAUUUUUUUUAUAAAAAAAAAACAUAAUCUCAUAUGCAUAUAUUUAAUCCUCCUCAAACAUAUUUAUUUUUUUUACUUUUUUUGUUUCAAUGACUAAUUUAGAUUUAUUAUUUUGAUGGUCAAACUUAUUUAUGUUUCACUAAUAUUCUUGUAAAACUUAUUAUAGAUGGCCAAAUUUGUUUCUUCAAAUACAAAAAUUAAAUUACAAUAUAGACAAAAAAAAAUAGUUUUAAAUUAUAAUAUAGCCACAAAAAAAUAGUUUUAAUUUUUUUUCUUUACACUAAGGAAUGAAAGAAAAAAAUAAAAUAAGAAUAAGAAACUCAAAUAAUUAUAAUCAAAGAAGUCAAAAAAUAAUUUAUGUAUGAAAAAGAUUAAAAUAUACCUUGAACUUUGCUAGAAGAAUCAUAUAUACCCCUAACUAAUUUUUAAGAAAAUUAAAAGUCAAAAAUAUAAAUUUAAAACUAAUUUUUUCACUUUCGUUAAAUGAAGGGUAUAUGUGAGCUCAUUUUGUAACGGUAGGGAUAUAUGUGAGCCGUUUGUAUAAUGAUAAGGGUAUAUAUGAGUCACUUUCAUAACAAGGGGCAUAUCAGCUCCAAAUGACAAAGUUGAGGGGUAUAUCAAGGCCCUUUUCCCUAUUAUAAUUUAUACCUAACUCUUUUGUUCUUUCAUAUUCCUUUUUAUCAAAUUUUACUGUCAUUCUCUAAUUAUUUGUCUACUCUUGAAUUGACACACCUAUUAAAAAAGUAAUUAAUGACAUAAUGAGUUUACCAUUUUACCCCUAUUAAUUAUGAAGUGGAUGAAAAGUUUUACAUUUUUCAAAGUAAUUAAUCAUUUAAUUGAGAGUAUAAUAGGUAAAAAAAAUUUGUCAUUUCUUGAUUUGUCAAAAUGGACAUGUAAUUGGAGACAACUAUAAAAAAAAAAGUGGACAAAUAAAUAGGGACAGAGGGAGUAUUAUUUAUUCCUCCGUUUUUUAUUUGUUCACGAUAUUAAAAAUACAUAAAAUAUAUUUGGCAGGACACUUUUUUGGCACUUAAUGACAGGAUCUUACUUUUUCAGGGUGAGGUCGUAAUUUCGUAGAAAUAGGAAGGGUGAUAGGGUAAAUUCAUUUUUUUUGUACCCAAAGUACCCUCUUAUGUAAAAUUACUAAAAGAAAAAUCUUAAACCACUAGAUGGUUUCAAGAAAUUACACUGUUCAAGAAUUUUUUCCUUUCCAAUAAAAAAACAUUGCCCAAGAAGCAUUUAUUGUAGUUUAUUCUUCCAAUAUUUUUUAUCUUUCAUUGUUGUUUAUUCUUCCAUUCUUCUUCCUUUUUAAUAUCACUUGUUUUUAAGGGGGAAAAUAAGGUAUAUUCAUUAAUUUUUAAAAACAUUCUUUAAAGUAAUAUUUAUUAAUUCAUUGAUUAAUUAAUAUCUCUACAAAAUAAUAAUAAUAAUAGUUUACAAUUUCAAUAAUUAUAUUUCACGUUGAGAAUAACACUACUAAUUUAUAUUAAAUUCAAAAUAGUUAAUGAAUCCAUUAUUUUCUAGUUAAAUUAUUUUUUAUAUAAUAUUUCCUUAACAGUAUUAAUUGUAGGGAUAAAGUGAGAAAAAUAUUUAACUAAUUUUAUUUUAAUUUAAUGAAUAAACAAGUAAUUUAAUAUAUAUAUAUAUAUAUAUAUAUAUAUAUAUAAAAAAACUAAUUUAAUUAACUUUNNNNNNNNNNNNNNNNNNNNNNNNNNNNNNNNNNNNNNNNNNNNNNNNNNNNNNNNNNNNNNNNNNNNNNNNNNNNNNNNNNNNNNNNNNNNNNNNNNNNNNNNNNNNNAAAAAGUUAUUAUCUUAUUUAGUUGAGUACGUUAAUUUAAUAUUGUUAGUACAAUUUUUUUUGUUCUGAUAUAAAAAAUAAUAUAUAUAUAUAUAUAUAUAUAAGAUGAUGUGAUACCUCUCUAAGGCCACCAUUCAUAUUUAUCUUUUUUCCUCCUUUAUUUUUGAUAUUUUUCUUUAUUUUCCCAUAUUUUCUUAAUUAAAGUAGAACAAUUGAAUGUAAUUAAGAAAGGAUAAUGCAUGAUUGGAAUUUGGAGUGACUUCUCAAUUCUUCAUUAAUAAAUAUAUUAAUUAAUAUAAUAACUUAUACACAAUAAAUUAGUGUGAUUGUUAAAAAAAUUCAAUUUCAUUUUUUUUAUUCAAAUUUUUGACAUUUUUCUUAUUUUUUUCUAUUUGUAUAAUUUAUUAGAAAAUCUAAAACUAUUUCUAGAGAUUCAUUUAAACAACAAAGGUUUAUAUCUAUUUUCAUGAAAUAGUUCCCACAUAACUAUAGACAUUAAGCACUAUUUCCUCUCUUAUUUAUUUUGUUUUUAUUCCUCCUUUAUUUGCUUUAUUAAAAGUCUUACAUUCACAACUCAUUUAUUUCAUAUUCACUCUUAAUAAUAUUAUUAACUCAUACUUUUCAUAUUCAUAACUCCUAAAUAUUUAAUUAAAAUUUAAAACACCUUAUGGUAUUCCAUCAUUUUAUCUUUAUAAAUAUGAUCAUGAUUCUAUUAUUUCAUAUUUGAAGUUGUAAUGUAUAUAUAUAUAUUUCAUGUGGUAUUAUAUUUAUGUUUUAAUCUUGAAGAAUAAAAAAUGUCAAUGAAGACCGCCUUGUGAAAUGAAUACCGAUAAGGGUUCGAAGAAUUAUAAAUUGAUGAAUCGAUUUAUUGAAUUCAUAUUAUUUUUUUAUAAUGGAAGUUGUAAAAAUGAUGCUUGUAUUGUAUUACUUCCUCCUUUAUUUAUUUAUUUAUUAUAUAUUUUCUUGAUAUCUUUUUAGCUUGAUUUUUACAUUAUUCAUGUAAGUGUUGUUAUUAAGAGCAUGUAUAAGGUAGUUAAAUUUAUGCUCAAGUUAUUUGACAUUUUUUUCGUAGAAAAUUUCUCUGUGCCCUUUUUCUUAUUAUAAAAUGACAAAUAUAACUUCUAAUAUUUUAAGUUUUUCUAAUUUAAUAUAUUUAUAAAUAAUAACUACUCAUAACUCAUACCCUUUAAUUUUAGUCUUGAUAAUUUCAUAACUUACGAGUAUAGUUUAAAUUAUUUUCCCUUUUUUGAUAUAAUUAUUUUUUAAUUUGACAUGAUGGGGAAUAUAAAUAUCAUAAAUAUCAUACAUAAACAAUCAUAUUAACAAUUAUUCAUAAUUUUUGUGUUUUAUAUUAUUAUAAUUAAAUAAUUUAUUGAAUUCAUAUUUAUUUGAUAAUGAAAAAUGUAAAAGUGAUGCUUGUAUUGUAUUACUUUCUCCUUUAUUUAUUUAUUUAUUGUAUGUUUUCUUGAAGGAAGACUUAGAAGAAUAUUUUUUGAAGCACCGUUAGGAAUUACUUUUACUAGAGAAUUUAUUUUUAUUUUGACUUGUAAUAUAUAGUAACUUAAGUACACAUAUUGACAACAUUACUCAUUUAGUCCUCUAUGAUCCUACUUUUUAUUGUAAAACAUAAUUAAUAUAACUAUCUUAUUUCAAUCAAAAAAAUUAAUGAGAAUAAGUUAUAUUUUAUUUUCUUCUCAAAGAAAAUUAAAGAAUGAAAUAAAUUAUUAUAUGACAUCAUUGCUUAUUCUUAUGCAUAUUUAACAAUUUGUUGUUGUCGCUGUUCUUUUCUUGCUUGAAAUGUAUUUAGAAGUUUUCUUUUCAUUUUUGAGAUAAGGGUUUGAAAAAUACCUCAACUUUUGGUCGAAUUUGCUGUUGCGAUACUAAACUUUCAUGAUGACCUAUUACCUCCCUAGAAUAUUUAAUACCGUAUUUUAAACAUAUAUAUUUGCCCACGUGGACAUAAAAAAUAAUGCAAAAUUAUAAAUAGUAAUGUGUCCACGUGAGCACAUAUAUACCUUUAAAAUACACUAUUAAAUAGUUCAGGGGGUAAAAAAAUACAGUAUGAAAUAGUCUAGGGAGGUAAUAGGUCCUUAUAAAAGUUUAGUAUAGCAACAUCAAAUCCGAUCAAAGUUGGGAUAUUUUUCAAACUCUUAUCCCUUCAUUUUUUAGUACUUUGUGAUAUAAUAAUGUAAAUUAUUAUUUUUUAUGUCUUAGCUACAUAAUUAUAAAAAAUCUAUGCCUCUAUAUUAUUUAAUUGUGGUCUUUGAUGAGAUUGUAACAUGACACGUCUUUUAUGCAAUCAAUUUAUUUAUUCUUUUUUCUUAUUUUUGUGAUUUUUACCCAUUAUAUUUUUCAGUCAUUUAUUUAUUUUUACAAAUAAAAUUAAUGCACAAUGAUUAAUGUACUUAAUGUCAUAAUAAUAUUAUAUAUUAAAGUUAUGAUAACUCAUGUAUCUUAUCUUCUUUAUAACUUCUAUUCUUAAAUGUUAUUGAUAACUCCUAUUUGUUUCAUUGUUAUAAUUUUUAAAACCUUUCUUUAAUAUAUAAAUAUUUCUUUAAUAUAUAAAUAGUAAACAAAUGUGAUGAAAAAGACGUAAUGUGGAAGUUUUAAAAAAAAAAUUAAUAUCAAAAUCGGUGUUAUCAUAAAUGAUCGAGUACUCAAAAGAUAGAUAAGAUUUAAACAAAAAAUGUAUUGUUUUCAAACUUAAUACAUAGAUUUGUUGUUUCAAAAUAUGACUUCUAAAUUGUUUGUUCUACCAUAUGCAUAUAAAGUUUAUUUAGCAUAUUGAAAAAACAUAUCAUGUUUCAUAUGAAGGCAAAAAUUUACAUUGUCUUUUAUGUCACUGGCUUGAAUAUAAAUAUUCCAUACUAUUUCAUUAUAAUUAAAAAUUAGCAAUGCAUAGAAUUAUUUUUUAUAAAUGAUAAAAUAAAUUAAUUUAUUAAUUUUCAUUACAACCGUGCGAAGCACGAAUAGUUUCACUAGUAUAUAUAUAUAUGAAAGAAAAAAAUGAAAAAUAUUUUUUUUAAAUACAAUUUUUAAAUUUUUUUGGAGGGGGGUAGGUGGUUGGGGUAAGCGUGGACUAAAGAAAAUAAAAAUUUAAUUAUUUUUUUCAAAAACAUUUUUUUUUUGUGGAAAGCGGGGGCAGGACAGUCAAGAGUUGAGCGGGGUAAAAAAAUAGAAAAAAUCUAACUUUAAACUGUUUUUCAAAAAUAAAAUUUUAAGUUGUUAAUUUUUUUUUGUUUGGGGGAGGGGCUAGUUUGGGUGUAGUAACAAAAUAAAUUAUUAUUUUUUUUAAAAAGAAAAUUUUAAAUUUUAAAGUUUUUUGAAUGGGGAGGGUCGGAGUACGGAGUGAGGUAAGAAAAAAAUUAUUAUUUGAGAAAAAUAAGUUUAUUUGAGAAAUAUUUAAGUAAACCAAAUAUAAGAAAAUUAAGAAACAUUUUCUAGAAUGAGAGAUAAAAUGAAUUAAGUAAAAAAGAAAGUAAAGAUAUUGAAAGAGUAAAGUAAAUGAAAUAAAAUGAGUAAAGUAAAUAAAAAAGAAAAGUCAGGUGAUUUUCUUUUUUUUUUGGAGGGAAAUUUAGAUGGUUUUCGAGUCAAGAGCCAAAAGACUAUUUCUAUCAUUUCACAGUGUUAUGCCAGAUCGUGCCAAAAAAAUGUUGUGCCAUUUAGUUUUACUCUUUAUAUAUUCGUUGAAGUUGGUAGGGAAGCUGCCAUCAAAAUCAUUAGGCCCCCACUUGUAAUAUUCUUUCUCCGUACAAAAUUCUAUUACGGUGCUUAACUAUUGGGAACAGAAAUGUAAGUAGUAAAAUUUGAUACUACCAAAACUAAAUUUCUUUAUUUUUGUCCUUUACAAUUCUUGUGUUUAAUGGAUAGUGAUCAGAAGCUAUUAGCAAAAUCAGAAGAUUCUCCAUUGAAACUCAUCGUAUUCAAGAAGUCUUGUAUUUCAUUGUUCGAAAUCAUCAAUUGAUCCCAGAAUUGUUCUUCUGUAUUAGUUCCCUGUUGUUGUUGCACUUGCAGGGGUGAAGAAGAAGUAUUAUUAUUAUUAUUAUUAUUGUGUUGUUGAAUUGAUGUGUAAUCUGCAAAUGAGAAAUUAAGUUUAGCUCUUGGACCUCUAAAUUCAAUAGCUGCUCUGUCAUAAGCUCUAGCUACGUCCUCAGCUGUAGUAAAUGUUCCAAGCCAUACUCUGGCUGCUCUUCUUGGAUCUCUAAUUUCUGCAGCCCAUUUUCCCCAUGGUCUCUGUCUUACUCCUCUGUAAUUCUUCUUCUUCUUCGCAACAUUAAUCUUUAAUGUCUUGUUGUUGUUGCCAGUUGAUGAGGUUGCAAAAUAGUUGCAGCCUAAACAACCAUUUAUUUUGCAGAAUUGACAAGCCUCUGUUUCUUCCGGUAAGUGAAACAAAGGCGGCUCAAUUGUUCAAAACAUAUACCUAUUAAACACAAAGUGCUUACGUGGCAAAAUAAGUGUACCUCACUGCUGUUGAGAGCGUGAAUAGGUUCCUAUUUCAUUUUUAAAUUUAAAAAAAAAGAUAAUUUGUAACUUUUUUCACGCCUGCAUUCAUUAACUAAAUAACUAUAAAAAAAUAAACUCUUAAUCAAGAAAAAGAAACAACCCCACCCCACACCCCUUUACCUGUCAUCUUCUUCACUCCAUCUCAAAAAUCUCUUGCACUUCAUUUUAGUUCUAUUUUUUUUUUCCAGUUUUUGUUAAAAUGAAAAACUGAAUCUGCUAAACUUAAUUUGCUAGUUAAAUUAUUGGUUGUGUCAUCCCCAAUUAAACGUUUCAAUGUCAAUAUUAUUUAAAAUAAAUUCCGGCCAAAUUGCUUUGCCAUGAUCCCGCCACACCCUUUACCAUACACUCCUUGAUUAUUAUUUUUACUAGCGGCAUUCCACAAUUACUAAUAUUAUCAAAACUAAAAUGAAAUGCGUCAAAAAUAAUUCCGGCAAAAUUUCAUUUUUUCCGGCAAGACUAAUACGAAUCUGAAAUUAUUUUCUUUCAAAUUGUUAAAAAAUUCAAAUCCUAAAGAACUCACAACAUAGAAGAAGAAGAAGAAGAAAAAUAUGAGAAUCUGAAUUGAUGAUUGAAAAAAAAAGUGAGAUUGAGAGAAAUGACAACUACAAUGUUGAUGGAUAUCGAAAUAAACGAGAGAGGCAGGUGUAUGAGUGGAAAAAAGAAUAUGUUGAGACAAAAAAAGGUGGAACGAAGAUGAUUAUCGAACAUAAUUUUAUUAUUAUUUUUCUUUUUAAUUUAUUUUUUACUUAUUAUUAUGGACGAAAUGCCACAUGUCUUUUUCUUAUUUGUUACUAUGUCACAUCAUUCGCAAGUGUAUGACACACUCUCUAUUUUUAGUUGAUUGUCUCACAGUGUUCAAUAUGUAUAAUUUUUUUAACUAACAAAGGUGUUCAAUUGAAACAAGCGCAAGAUAAAGUGUCUAAGUGAAUUAUGCAGACAACUUUAAAAGGACACGUAUAACUUAAGCCUAAAUUUUAACUAAAAGAUAUUCCUCUGUCACAAAGAAUGAUUUGAACCGGAAUAGUAUGAACAUAUGUGCUACCAUAUUUGUUGUUUUUUACCCAACUCUAAAGAACAGGCUAAAUAAUUAACAGUAUAUUGGUAGUAGGAUAUAUAUACAUUUCAAGCCCUGUUUUGGAGAAUUACUUUGGACAUAUAAUAUAAUAUGUCCCGUCUAAUUAAAAAAUAAAUGACUUGUAAUGUGAAAUUUCAAGUCAAUACUAUUAAAAUAAAUGAAAUUGAAAAUAUAACAUAAGUCCUAAAUUCAAAACAAAAAAUUUAAUAUAAUAUUCUUAUGUCAAAUAUCAAUAUAACAUACAUAAAUAUGAUUUCAAAGAAAAGAAAAAUAUAAGUCUAUAACCUUAUUAAACAAUGACUUCUAUCUUAAUUGAAAAAUUAGAAUACUAACAAAAAUAUUUUAAUGAAAAAUAUAAACAUAGAAUUACAACAAUAGAUAAUACGAAAAAAUGGCAUGAAAUCACAUAAAGUAAAGGUUGAGAAUGCGAAAGAAAUUAAAUGUAAAUAAUAUAAAAAAAAAUAUUUAAAAAAAUAUUAGAAUAAUAAAAAAGAAUUUAAAAUAAAUAAAUAAAUAAAUAAAUAAAAUAGUAGUAAUAGAAAAAAGAAAUGAAAAACUAAACAAUUUAUAAUUACACCACAUAAUUAUCAGUAAUUCACAAUUUUCAUGAGAAUUAGAAAAUAUAACUACCCCUAUCAAUUACAAUUAAUUACCUGCUAAUUAAAUAAUUACAUAACCAAUUAAAUGUGUUAUAUAUUAUAAUUAGGUUCAAUUACACUAAAACAAAUUAUCAUAGUAACUUUCCAAAUAGACAUUUAAUAUUUUCUUCACUAGAAAGAAAGGAGUAUUAAAGUUGAAAAGUUAAAUACUACUAUGUGGGUCUAAGAAAAGACAAAACAAUACACAACAUAAGCCAGCCUGGUAAUCAAUCCGUACACGUCGUAGCGUCAACAAUACCGAGUUGACUUAACUUUGCUCUAUCCAUUUUAUUGACUCACAGCUACCCUCUCUGUUUUAAUAUUGUUUAAAAUAAUAUAUUUAUUAUUAAUUUUUCAUAUGAAGUGAACAUCAAAUGACAAAUUAAAAUGAAAGAAAGUAUCAUUAUUUUCAUUGGUGUUAAAUGAUUGAAUUGUGCUGAAUUUAUAAGUGUUAAAAAGGUCUUUGAAUAGAUUAGAUGCAUCAUAUUUCUAUGAGUAAACUUUAUCACUCUUACAUAUCUCUUCUGUUACUUGAAAAUACAUAAAUUCAUUCCUAACUAAUUCUUGCAUUAUUAACAUUUGAGUAACUCUAUCUAGCUUUUAAAAUAGUGCAUGUGAUAUUCUAUGCCUUGUAAAAAUUUCAAGUAAUUCAAGUCAUCCAAAUCCUAAAUACUAGUGAAAUUGAUAAAUUAGUAUAAUAAAGUAAGCUGAAUUGCAGAGGAUAAGCUUGUUACUUCUCCAGGUGUGAACAUUGUUUGUCAAUACAUCAAAUUAUAUACAUACUCCCAAUAUUUAACUUUUCCUUUAUUAAUUAAAAAUGUAUAUAUAUUCGUUGAAGUUGGUAGGCAUGCUGCCAUCAGGUGAUUUCUCCCUCAGGUUUCUGAGGCCCCACAUGUAAUAUUGUGUGCCUAAGUAUUUAUGAUACAAUCUUGAUUGAAAAACAAAUUCCAAUUUAAUUUGUAACUAUCAAAACUAAAUGGGCAUGCGUCCUACUAAAAUAGGAAAUGAUCAGAAGCUAUGAGCAAUAUAGCCAUUAGCAGAAUCAGAUGAUUCUCUAUUAAAGUAAUGUUGAAUUUCAUUGUCUGAAUUCAUCAAUUGAUCCCAGAACUCUUCUUCUUCUGUGUUCAUUCCCUGUUGUAACUGCGAGGGCGGUGAUUGUUGUUGUUGCACUUGCAGGGGUGUAUUGUUGUGUUGUUGAAUUGAUGUGUAAUCUGAAAAUGAGAAAUUAAGCUUAGCUCUUGGACCUCUAAAUUCAAUAGCUGCUCUGUCAUAAGCUCUAGCUGCAUCUCUGCUGUAGUAAAUGUUCCAAGCCAUACUCUGGCUGCCCUUCUCGGGUCUCUAAUUUCCGCAGCCCAUUUUCCCCAUGGUCUUUGUCUCACUCCUCUGUAAUUCUUCUUUUUCUUCUUCGCAACAAUCUUUAAAGCCUUGUUGUUGUUGCCAGUUGAUGAGGUUGCAAAAAUAGUUGCAGCCUAAACAACCAUUUAUUUUGCAGAAUUGACAAGCCUCUGUUUCUUCCGGUAAGUGAAACAAGGGCGGCUCAAUAGAAUAAGACAUACUCGUACAAGGUAAUGAAAUUGUGGCACUGACGGAAGUAUGAGUAGUACCUGUAAUCACAUUCGUUAAAGCAGCAACGAUGAUUGAAAACUCUUGUUCAUC
rnacentral:lncRNA from 1 species